AAAGAGCCAAGCACGCAUGAGUCAGAAGCAGUUAUAUCCCUAAGUCAUAAAGCAGCAGCUGGGCCCAAGAUUCCUGGCAUCCUUCCAAUCUCACCUCCCCCGCCCUAUUUACCCAGGAGCAAAAGAAGCGGAGGGAAGCAACACAGCGCAGCGUGACUACGUGCUUGAUCUGUCUCCUCCUAACGGGCAUGCAGAACCCCAGCUUUUAAGUUGGUCUCCGCAGAGGACAACUGCAUUCUCCAGCCUCCUGUACAGCAGAGAGUGCCAUGUGACUAAGACCAAGUUCUAACCAGUGGGAUCAAAGCAGGGAAGUGUUGCCUUCUUUGCCCCUUCCUGCUGGCUGGAAUAUGACAAAACGGCUGCAGCAUGAGCAACCUUCUUGGGCCCUGAGGUGGAAGCCACCUGUUGGUUGACCGACCAGAUGGUGGAGUGACCAGAUAGAAGGGGCCUGGUGAUUGUGGAUUCUGCCACACUACCUCUGGUCCCCUAUACCUAUGUGAAAGGAAAAGAAAUGUCUGCCAUGUUCGUGUGUGUGUGUGUGUGUGUAGUGUGUGUGUGUGUGUGUGUGUCUGCCAUGUUUAAGCCACUAUAACUUUGGGAUAUCUGUGGCUUAUAGUCAAAUCUAAUCCAAACAAAUGCACCUCUAUGUCCCCCUCA
rnacentral:lncRNA from 1 species